rnacentral:rRNA from 1 species
UACGUAGGGUGCGAGCGUUGUCCGGAAUUACUGGGCGUAAAGCGCUCGUAGGUGGUUUGUCGCGUUGUUCGUGAAAACUCACAGCUUAACUGUGGGCGUGCGGGCGAUACGGGCAGACUGGAGUACUGCAGGGGAGACUGGAAUUCCUGGUGUAGCGGUGGAAUGCGCAGAUAUCCGGAGGAACACCAGUGGCGAAGGCGACACGCUGGGCCGUACCUGACACUGAUGCGCGACAGCAUGGGGAGCAAACAGG